UACGGAGGAUGCGAGCGUUAUCCGGAUUUAUUGGGUUUAAAGGGUGCGUAGGCGGCUUUUUAAGUCAGCGGUGAAAUUUUGCAGCUUAACUGUAACAGUGCCGUUGAUACUGGGGAGCUAGGAUUUGGUUGCUGUGGGUGGAAUGUGUGGUGUAGCGGUGAAAUGCAUAGAUAUCACGAGGAACUCCGAUUGCGCAGGCAGCUUACUAAACCAUAACUGACGCUCAGGCACGAAGGCGUGGGGAUCAAACAGGAUUAGAUA
rnacentral:rRNA from 1 species